rnacentral:rRNA from 1 species
UACGUAGGGUGCAAGCGUUAUCCGGAAUUAUUGGGCGUAAAGAGCUCGUAGGCGGUUUGUCGCGUCCGCUGUGAAAACUGGGGGCUCAACCCCCAGCCUGCAGUGGGUACGGGCAGACUAGAGUGCGGUAGGGGAGAUUGGAAUUCCUGGUGUAGCGGUGGAAUGCGCAGAUAUCAGGAGGAACACCGAUGGCGAAGGCAGAUCUCUGGGCCGUAACUGACGCUGAGGAGCGAAAGCAUGGGUAGCGAACAGG